AUGAGGGUUGAACUGUGCAGUUUCAGUGGGUACAAGAUCUACCUGGGGCACUGGGUAACGCCACUCCAAGACUGACGGGAAGGCUUUCUAGUUUCUUAAUGCAAAAGGUGAGUCCGCAUUCCUUUCCCAAAGGAACCUCGACAGAUAAACCCGACUGUCCUCCACAGAAGAAGACAUGAGAAAGGAUGGUCGGAAGAAAUUCAAGAGAAAAGGACCCACCAUGCAGUUGAAUCCCAGCGAGACAUCACUAGUGCGUUUCUUGUUGAUAGAGUGGCCAAAAGGACUCAGAAACCAGAAGUUAAGAAAGCUCAGAGAGCAGGCUAUCAGGGCUGCCAAGGAAGCAAAAAAGGCUAAGCAGGCAUCAGAGAAGACAGCAAUGGCUGCUGCCAAGGCCCCCACAAAGGCAGCACCUAGACAAAAGAUUGUGAAGCCUGUGACAGUCUCUGCUUCCCAAGUUGGUAGAAAACCCUAA
rnacentral:lncRNA from 1 species